UCACAGUGAUGACUGUUUUUCCAACCAUUCGCAGUUUCCCCCAGAAUGGACUGGCCGCAUGUUGGUUCAACCUUCCUUGGAUGUCUGAGUGA